rnacentral:rRNA from 1 species
GUGGAUGACAUACUUUUGAUGGGAAAUGAUAUAGAACUCUUGGACAGCAUCAAGGCCUACUUGAAUAAAAGUUUUUCAAUGAAGGACCUUGGAGAAGCUGCUUAUAUAUUAGGCAUCAAAAUCUAUAGAGAUAGAUCGAGACGCCUCAUAGGUCUUUCACAAAGCACAUACUUUGAUAAGAUAUUGAAGAAGUUCAAUAUGGAUCAAUCCAAGAAGGGGUUCUUGCCUGUGUUACAAGGUAUGAAAUUGAGCUCAGCUCAAUGUCCGACCACGGCAGAAGAUAUAGAAGAGAUGAGCAUCAUCCCCUAUGCC